UACAGAGGGGGCAAGCGUUAAUCGGAAUUACUGGGCGUAAAGAGCACGUAGGCGGGCAUUUAAGUCGAAUGUGAAACCCCCGAGCUUAACUUGGGGACUGCAUGCGAUACUGAAUACCUAGAGUAUAGUAGAGGGAAGUGGAAUUUCCGGAGUAGCGGUGAAAUGCGUAGAUAUCGGAAAGAACACCAACGGCGAAAGCACUCUGCUGGGCCGACACUGACACUGAGAGACGAAAGCUAGGGGAGCAAAUGGG
rnacentral:rRNA from 1 species